AUGGCCGACGACAACGGCGGCGGCGGCGACGACUACGUCAGCGAGGCCGUCCGCCCCGAGGGUGAUACACAUACGCGUGAAGAGGGAUUGUCAAAAUCCAGGGAUCGAGACAGAGAAAAAGACAAGGAUAAGGAGCGCCAUAGGGACCGUGACAGAGAUAGAGGAAGAGACAGAGAUCGGGGUCGGGACAGGGAUCUAGACAAGGAUCGGGACAGGGACAAGGAUCGGGAUCGUCACCAAAGGCAUCACCGUGACAAAAGGGAGCACCGAGACCGUCCUGAUGAUCACGAUCGUCACAGAAGCCGUGAUUCUGAAAGGAGAAGGGACCGCGAGAGAGAUGGACAUCGCAGGCAUCGCUCUCGUUCACGGUCUCGUUCAAGGGGCAGGGAUGAUCACAGAUCUCGAUCUCAUUCAAAAAGCAAGCGAGUCAGUGGAUUCGACCUGGGACCAACAGCACAAUCCGUACUUCCUCAGUUCCCUACCAUUCCAACCCCAAAAGGCAAUCUUGGGUCACUUGCCCCACUGCCGCCGAUGGAUGCACAGCCUACUGUAGCUUUAAUGUACAAGGAGGAAUCAGUGCUCCGCUGGAUCCAUUUGAGAUCCAGACUGAUGUUACCGGGCUCUUCUAUUCCUGGAAUGUUCCCGAACAUGCUCCCUUUUGCUGUUGGACAGUUCAAUCCCCUCGUCAUGCAGCCACAAGCCAUGACUCAACAGGCUACUCGGCAUGCUCGGCGUGUUUAUGUCGGUGGCCUUCCCCCAUCUGCUAAUGAACAGUCUGUUGCAAUAUACUUUAAUCAAGUCAUGGCUGCUAUUGGAGGAAACACUGCUGGUCCAGGUGAUGCUGUUCUUAAUGUGUACAUAAACCAUGACAAGAAAUUCGCUUUUGUGGAGAUGAGGUCUGUGGAGGAAGCAAGCAAUGCAAUGGCACUGGAUGGCAUUUUAUUUGAAGGUGCACCAGUGAAGGUUAGAAGACCAACAGACUAUAACCCUUCUCUGGCAGCUGCCCUGGGCCCAAGCCAGCCAAGCUCCAAUUUGAAUCUUGCUGCGGUUGGCCUAACACCAGGUUCAGCCGGAGGGUUAGAAGGCCCGGACCGUAUUUUUGUGGGUGGUCUCCCCUAUUACUUCACAGAGGCUCAAGUUCGGGAGCUGCUUGAAUCAUUUGGGCCUCUUCGAGGAUUUGAUCUUGUGAAAGAUAGGGAAACUGGUAACUCAAAGGGCUAUGCGUUCUGUGUCUACCAGGACCUCAAUGUCACUGACAUAGCCUGCGCUGCUCUAAAUGGUAUCAAGAUGGGAGACAAAACUCUUACGGUCAGACGAGCAAACCAGGGCUCAGCCCAACCUAGACCAGAGCAGGAAAAUAUCCUGUUGCAGGCACAGCAGCAGGUGCAGUUACAGAAACUUGUGUAUCAAGUUGGAGCGCUCCCUACAAAGGUUGUAUGCCUGACCCAGGUAGUUACUGCUGAUGAAUUAAAAGAUGAUGAAGAAUAUGAGGACAUUAUGGAGGACAUGAGGUUGGAAGCUGGGAAAUAUGGUAACUUGGUGAAAGUUGUCAUCCCGCGCCCUCAUCCGAGUGGAGAGCCAGUUUCUGGAGUUGGAAAGGUGUUCUUAGAGUAUGCAGAUGUUGAUGGUUCCACCAAAGCAAAGACGGCGAUGCACGGAAGGAAAUUCGGUGGAAACCCAGUUGUUGCGGUCUUCUACCCCGAGAACAAGUUUGCUGAUGAGGACUAUGACGCGGCAGCAUAA
rnacentral:rRNA from 1 species